rnacentral:rRNA from 1 species
CCUCCUCAAAAAGANUUUCUUACNCCUGUGNACUUUUUGUANGGCCAUUCACUUGGCUCUAUGUUUUUCUAAUACACACCGCUCUGUUAUAUGAAUGGGAAUAACUUUAUUAAUAAAAUAAUAACAACUUUCAACAACGGAUCUCUUGGCUCUCGCAUCGAUGAANAACGCAGCGAAAUGCGAUAAGUAAUGUGAAUUGCAGAAUUCAGUGAAUCAUCGAAUCUUUGAACGCACCUUGCGCUCCUUGGUAUUCCGAGGAGCAUGCCUGUUUGAGUGUCAUUAAAUUCUCAAAGUCUUUUUUCUUUUUUGAAAAGACUUUGGAUUUGGAGUGUUGCCGGCUUUAUUUGUCGGCUCCUCUUAAAUGCAUUAGCUUGUUAAUCUUUGUGGAAUAUAGGCUUUGGUUUGAUAGUAUCUAUGCCAUUGCUUGUGAAACAAAUACCAGCUUCUAAUAAACCCUUCAUUUGACAUUUUGACCUCAAAUCAGGUAGGACUACCCGCUGAACUUAAGCAUAUCAAUAANCGGAGGAA